AUGAAACUCGUUGAUCUCGUGCAACACGUUGAACACAGUGUGUCAAUUUUGUGUAGGAAUGAAGCAGCAUUGGACGUUGUAGCUUCGCACACAAUCCCCUUCACUAGAUUGACUGCCGACCCACUUGAGAUAAGUGCGUCAUCUAUUUAUACCCCUGUUAUGUUCAGUAAGGUAAAGGCCGAGAUUGUCAACUUAUCAAGAUGGAAUGUUCUAGGGGUGGAAGAGGACACUGGUUUGGUUAGCUAUGGAGUUGCUCACAAAGAGUCGGUGCACGUUAGGUUCCAUGUCAUAUGUAUUUUUGAUGGAUCUAAGAUGGAAAGUGCAUAUUGUGGAUGUAGGAAGAUGGAAAGCGAGGAUUUUCCAUGUGCUCAUAUAUUUUGCGUUCUGAAGUACAAUGGGAUAUGCACCAUCCACGCAUGUUGUGUGAAGGCUAGAUGGACAAUGCAAGCCAAGACUGCUUUCGGUUCUGUGAGGAGUGCCAAUACACAUGUAUGCUCAGAACAGAUGGAUAAGUACCAUGAACUGCGCAGUAUGGCUAGUGGGGCUUUAUUCACGGCCUUAGCUAGCGAAAUGUAG
rnacentral:rRNA from 1 species